rnacentral:rRNA from 1 species
CAUGUCUGUGCCAGGAAAAACCUCUAAGGGAGUUUUAUUUGUGCCCGUACCGUAAACCGACACAGGUAGACGAGGCGAAUAGCCUAAGGUGCUCGAGACAACUCGGGAGAAGGAACUCGGCAAAUUAACCCCGUAACUUCGGGAUAAGGGGAGCCUCCAUUUGUUAGUGUGAACAGCACAAAGCAUAAGGAGGCCGCAGAGAAAUGGCGGAAGCGACUGUUUACCAAAAACACAGGGCUAUGCAAACCCGUAAGGGGAGGUAUAUAGUCUGACACGUGCCCGGUGCUGGAAGGUUAACAGGAGAUGUCAGCGCAAGCGAAGCAUUGAAUCGAAGCCCCAGUAAACGGCGGCCGUAACGAUAACGGUCCUAAGGUAGCGAAAUUCCUUGUCGGGUAAGUUCCGACCUGCACGAAUCGUGUAACGACUUCUGCACUGUCUCCUCCCGGGACUCGGCGAAAUUGCAGUGUCGGUGAAGAUGCCGACAACCCGCACCUGGACGGAAAGACCCCAUGAACCUUCACUGUAUUUUGACAUUGGUUUUAGGCUUGACAUGUGUAGGAUAGGUGGGAGGCUUUGAAGCGGUGACGCCAGUCAUCGUGGAGCCAUCCUUGAAAUACCACCCUUGUCCGGUUUGAGAUCUAACCGUGGCCCGUCAUCCGGGUCCGGGACCGUGUCUGAUGGUCAGUUUGACUGGGGCGGUCGCCUCCUAAAUGGUAACGGAGGCAUCCAAUGGUUCCCUCAGCGCGGUCGGUAAUCGCGCGUAGAGCAUAAAGGCAUAAGGGAGCUUGACUGCGAGACAGACAUGUCGAGCAGGUACGAAAGUAGGGCUUAGUGAUCCCGCGGUACAGCGUGGAACGGCCGUUGCUCAAUGGAUAAAAGGUACUCUGGGGAUAACAGGCUGAUCUCCCCCAAGCGUUCAUAGCGACGGGGAGGUUUGGCACCUCGAUGUCGGCUCGUCGCAUCCUGGGGCUGGAGAAGGUCCCAAGGGUUUGGCUGUUCGCCAAUUAAAGCGGCACGCGAGCUGGGUUCAGAACGUCGUGAGACAGUUCGGUCCCUAUCCGGUGUGGGCGCACGAAAUUUGAGGGAACCUGUCCUUAGUACGAGAGGACCGGGGCGGACGCACCUCUGGUGUACCGGCUGUCACGCCAGUGGCAUUGCCGGGUAGCUAUGUGCGGAUUGGAGAAACGCUGAAAGCAUCUAAGCGUGAAGCCAUUCCCAAGAUUAGAUUUCGCGGGGGCAACCCCCUAAAGGAUCGUUAGAGACCAUAACGUUGAUAGGUCACAGGUGUAAGCAUAGCGAUAUGUUGAGCCGAGUGAUACUAAUAGUCCGUGAGGCUCU